GAGCACGUAGGUGGGUUUGUAAGUCAGAUGUGAAAGCCUUCUGUUCAACGGAUGAAUUGCAUCUGAAACUGCGAGUCUUGAGUGUAGGAGGGGAGAAUGGAACUUCUGGUGGAGCGGUGAAAUGCGUAGAUAUCAGAAGGAACGCCGGCGGCGAAAGCGAUUCUCUGGCCUAUUACUGACACUCAGUGUGCGAAAGCUAGGGGAGCAAACGGGAUUAGAUACCCCGGUAGUCCUAGCCGUAAACGAUGGGCACUAAGUAGAGGGG
rnacentral:rRNA from 1 species